UAGUCUUUAGUUUAAGUAAGGAAGAAAAUAUGGAUUUUGUAGGUCUGGGAGGAAAUAUGAAGGUCAAGGCUAA
rnacentral:tRNA from 1 species